rnacentral:rRNA from 1 species
UGAGGAAUAUUGGUCAAUGGACGGGAGUCUGAACCAGCCAAGUAGCGUGAAGGAUGACUGCCCUAUGGGUUGUAAACUUCUUUUACAUGGGAAUAAAGUUUUCCACGUGUGGAAUUUUGUAUGUACCAUAUGAAUAAGGAUCGGCUAACUCCGUGCCAGCAGCCGCGGUAAUACGGAGGAUCCGAGCGUUAUCCGGAUUUAUUGGGCUUAAAGGGAGCGUAGGUGGACAGUUAAGUCAGUUGUGAAAGUUUGCGGCUCAACCGUAAAAUUGCAGUUGAUACUGGCUGUCUUGAGUACAGUAGAGGUGGGCGGAAUUCGUGGUGUAGCGGUGAAAUGCUUAGAUAUCACGAAGAACUCCGAUUGCGAAGGCAGCUCACUGGACUGCAACUGACACUGAUGCUCGAAAGUGUGGGUAUCAAACAGGAUUAGAUACCCUGGUAGU